rnacentral:rRNA from 1 species
UACGGAAGGCAGCAGUGGGGAAUAUUGGACAAUGGGCGCAAGCCUGAUCCAGCCAUGCCGCGUGUGUGAAGAAGGCCUUCGGGUUGUAAAGCACUUUUGUCCGGAAAGAAAAGCUUAGGGUUAAUAACCUUGAGUCAUGACGGUACCGGAAGAAUAAGCACCGGCUAACUUCGUGCCAGCAGCCGCGGUAAUACGAAGGGUGCAAGCGUUACUCGGAAUUACUGGGCGUAAAGCGUGCGUAGGUGGUUUGUUAAGUCUGAUGUGAAAGCCCUGGGCUCAACCUGGGAAUGGCAUUGGAAACUGGCUUACUAGAGUGCGGUAGAGGGGUGUGGAAUUCCCGGUGUAGCAGUGAAAUGCGUAGAUAUCGGGAGGAACAUCUGUGGCGAGGGCGACACCCUGGGACCAGCACUGACACUGAGGCACGAAAGCGUGGGGAGCAAAC